GCCAGCAUGGUGUAGUGGUUUGCACAUUGGAUUGCGACUCUGGAGAUCAGGGUUCGAAUCCUGGCUUGGCC